UUCUUGUACUGUUACCCUUUUUACAGGUUUUAUAAUUGUCAUAAUUAUCUGUCACCAGGAAGUUACCAAAGCCAUAUAAAUACCAACCGCAUGCAUGGUUGCUUUUAUAUGGGCGUAGCUGCACUAGCAGUAUAGGUCUACUAUAGAGAUUAGUGGAGUCAAUUCAACAGCUAGCGUUGGUCUACUCUCUGCUGCUAGCAUUUAUUUAACUGGCUCAGUACUGAAGAAAGACAGAAGUAGAAACAGGGAAAAAAGACACUCUUAUAUACAUGAUACUCUUCUCUGUGUAAGAAAGAAUACUGGUAUAAAUGCCCGGCGCCCACUGACAACUUAACUACAUGUAUUUGCUGGAGGUAUGUACAUGUGUACGUAUGUAGCUAAAGGUCGCUAUUAUGGAUAAUUACGAUAGGGGAUAAAAUAAACACUGAAUCACGUUCACACUGACAACGGUUACCAUGAAAACUGUUGUGACGUAGUAGUUUCCGAGGUAGUUUUCUACUCUUAUUAUUAAUUUUUACUACAAUUAAUUGAUUUUAUACUGGCACAUUAGCUACUAUUAAAGUUGCAGCUUCAUCCCAAAAGUAAUUUGCAUUGGCUACCACUGAACCUGAAGAACCUUAUUUAAUAUGGCAGUUGAUACUCAUUUAAGCUCAACUGAGGGUUGCCACAGUGAGACAGAAAGCCAACUAGUUGUCCUUAAAAGUCUCAGUAUUGAACUGAUUCAGCAGGGUCCAAUCGAUAAUGAACGAGCUAAAGAUAAGGCUCUCUCCCAAGAGUUCCGUCAUGUGUUUGGCAUAAAAGAACGCAAGAUCGUGCUGGCAGCAGCAGCUAAUAAAUCUCUCUCUGAUGGCUUCUUGAAGAUAGUUAAAGGAUACGAUUUUGUUCCACCUUUGAUUGAGUUUCUCAAAUUUCUAAAGAUAUUCUUUGACGAUUUUAAUAUUCUGGAAAGUAUUAACCAGAUUGACAAGAUUUUUCAAAGGUUUGAUCUAGUCCCAGAGUAUUCAUUAAAUAAUAUGAAACAAAUCACUACAUGUACUGAUUUUGAUUUUAAACAGACAGAAGUUGUCACGACGCCUAAAUUGGAUAUCACGGCAAAUAUUGUUGAUUCUUCCCAAAUCACUGAUUUGUCGUCUCUGUCUAUCUAUUCGAGGAGUAGUGAUUCUUUUCAAGUAUCCUCUCAGCUCAAUGCACCCAUAUUGCUUCCAUCUAACAGCGAGUUAGUUUGUACUACAUCAUUGAUACCUCAUCUGGGAGAAAAAGACGAGUUGGUCGUUGGCAUCGCUUUACCUAUUUUUACACCGAUGCUCAACCGCUGAGCGUCAACAACAUACAAUGCAUAUACUGUACACAAGUGCCGAGUGGUGUGCAUGUACCAACACUGUCCUGCUGAGCUAGUGUCACCAUCAUCUGUCUAGCUGUCGUAAUUAUAAUACUAUUAUUUUGCGCACACAAUUGAUUAUGUCACCUUAUGUGAUGUCUUAUUUGAUGAUAGCUGCUUUUUUUGUUUAGUUCACAGAUUAUAUUACAUCACCAAAUUAAAUAGAGCCAGUUUU